UGGAUACUCACCGAGGGCCAGAGCGGGUGCUAUGCCUUCCUCAGCCCUCUUCCUCCUCUCCGGGAACGACUCCUCGCAGGCGGGCUGCGGGCGAGCAGCCGGGCGGAGCGAACCUCCUCUCCGCAGCUCAGCGGUGCCCCUUCUGCAGCUGUGCCGCUGGGAACAUUUUAUAGCGGUGCUGGCGUGUGUGGCCCUUUAAAGGCGCUCAAGCUGGUGCAGUCACCGCGGAUCGUGUGAAAGCGAAGGGCCGGCUGGGGAACGGAGUCCGAGCGGCCCGCGGGUCCGGCAGCGCCGGAGACCAUCCGUGGUUCCCGGGGUGGAGCUGGCGGGCCCAGGCCGUGGGCACCCUGCGCCUUGAGCCCCAAGCCGACGCCUGCGCUCCUAAAGCUGUGGGGGGCCGGUGCCCGGGACCUGGUCUCUCCCCACCGCCCUGCAUGGACUUGCCCAAUAAAUUCCACUUAGCAAUUUCGCUGAGGCGAGGGAGAGCUGUUAGUGUCUAUUUUCUGACCUAAAUCUAGUGAGGUGGCCCGAGCGGGCUUCAGGGGGUUGCGGGGUGGGGGGUGGGAGUAGAGCUCUGGGCUCAGGGAAUGGCCCGGGGAAGGGGGCGCACUCGGGACGGGGCGGGUGCCGGCGGGGCAUGAUUGGAGUUUUCUGCGGGGCUUCCUUGGAGCCCGUUUGCCCCCUUUGGGCCGCACCAUCUUGUGGAAGGGCUGAGGCUGGGAGUCCCUUUCCCCUUGAAGUCCCCAGAUUCCGGGCAGAGCCUCAUGGAGGGCCGAUCCAGCAGCGGCGGUUUCCCUCGAAGGCUUGAGCAGGGGUUGGGGUCGAGGGAUUCUCUCCUGUGGUCAUCCCAGGCGGAAGGAGGCUGGCGGGAUGCGACGCGGUGAUAUGGCUUAGAGGCACGCGGAAAAGCCAAGAACUAGCAGCCGGGUCCGAAGAGCUUGCUCUGGAGUUCGAGGGGAUUCCUUCUGAAUUUCCAUGAUGCCAGGUUAUGUUAUUACGAUUAUAUACCCAUUCCCAUCUAGCAGGUAUAACAUUUUGCAUCUGGAGCAUAUAUUUCUCAGGUUGGGAUACUGUCUUACAGG
rnacentral:lncRNA from 1 species